UUUAGGGAGACCUACCCGCAUGGUUGCUUGAACGCAUUUUGCCAUUAGAGUUCAUGUUGGUCAUCCCAAGGUCGUUCAAGUUUAAGUGUUGGCUUUCAAACUAGCUAGGUUUGGUUUAUGGGCUAUUAGCUCAGGUGGUUAGAGCGCACCCCUGAUAAGGGUGAGGUCCCUGGUUCGAGUCCAGGAUGGCCCACCUUUGAAAGAGGGAAGAGAAGUAGAGAGCCAAAAGAAAGCACUUAUUUUCUUUUUUCUAUCUUUAUUUUUCAUUCUUUUUCCUGGGGGUUUAGCUCAGUUGGUAGAGCGCCUGCUUUGCAAGCAGGAUGUCAACGGUUCGAGUCCGUUAACCUCCACUGAGUGCUUUAGUGGUGCGUGGCACCAGCGGGCAACCUUAAUUUCAGCAACUCAUCUAGUGCUUUCCAGCUAGAGAGACUGCUGGAUUUAAUGCCAGCCAGAACCUUGAAAACUGCAUAGUAUU
rnacentral:tRNA from 1 species